rnacentral:misc_RNA from 1 species
AAUAAAAAACGAGUUGUAAAGUAAUAGUUUUAUGUCUUCUUUUUGAGUAAACGAGGUUAUUAUCAUCUUCGUUGGGAGUAAAUCCUUAUUAUAAAACUUGAUUUUUGUUAGUUACUUGCCUACUUUUACAUUAGUAAUUCGUGUUCAGUGUUAUAGAAAUUUUAAAACGAUAUAUUAGUGACGUUUUAACUGAGCAUUAGCUGGUUCAAACACCUUAUGUACAGUGAGAUAUAUAGACGCUUUAUUUGUAUAGUUCUUGAUAUAAUCACAAAAUGAUCAUGUAAACAUUAAUAAAUCUGCGAAGCACAUCUUGGAAUUUUUGAAGCUGAUAGAAAUAAUGGGGACACCAGACUCAGAUUCCGUCACUGAUAAGUCUGAUGAAAUGAUAAAAGAAAAUGAUUCUGGUGCUACGGUUGAGGAUUCAUCAAAAAAUGAUGCUGAAGAUGAUAAAAAGAAGAAAAAGAAGAAACACAAACAUCAUAGUAAACACAAAAAACAUUCAAGCGAAAGGAAGAAACACAAAAAACAUAAGAACAAGAAAGAAUCUGAAAAUGGAGACUUGAAGGAAAAUAAAAAAAAUAAGAAAACUAAAGAAAAGUUGUCAGUUAUAAUUUCUGAAGGAAGUAAUAAAAGAGAAGUUAAAGGAGAAGGGAAAGGCGGUAAAUUGGCUUUGACUAAUGGCAGUAAAGCAAAUAAUAAAGUAGUUGAUUCGGAUGGUGACAUCCCUACAGGUCCUCUCGAGGAGGAGAUGAACUUGGACGAGUUGAUGCGGCAAAAGGCACUUCUGCAAGCGUGUUUGGGAGCCUACAUGUCUGAAACAGAAAGCUCAAAGGAAGAAGAGCCUGAGGUCAUUAACUUGGUGGAUGAUGAUGAGUCAGAUGAUGGUCGUCCACGAAGAUCCAAGAAAAGAGGGCAUUCUAGAAGUACGAGUAGAGAAAGAAAGGUCAGAAGAAGUGAUAGUAAAAAAGAUGCAAAAGACAGGUCACAUAGAGAUUUUACAGAUAAAGAUAGAAAAUCAAAAGAGGAUGUCCGUAGAAGAGAGGAAGAGGAAUAUCGGAAAAGGGAAGCCAGAAGAAAAGAAGAUCAACGACGUAAAGAGGAAGAACUCAAAAGAAGAGAUGAGGAAAGAAGAAAAGAAGAGAUUAGAAGGAGGGAAGAGGACAUUAGACGAAGAGAAGAAGAGUACAAAAGAAGAGACGACGAAAGGAGAAGGGAAGAAGAAAGGAGGAGAGACGAUGACACCAGGAGACGAGAAGAGGACUUGCGAAGACGAGAGGAUGAUCUGAGGAGACGAGAUGAUGAUAUUCGUCGCAGAUCGAGGCGCAGCAGAUCACCCACAGGUAAAGACAGCUAUGCUGAUAGAAGAGACAGAGAAAAUGAUAGAGACAGAAGGGACAGAGACAGAGAUAGAGAAAGAGACAGAGACAGGAGGAGAAGGUCCGAUAGCAGGGAAAAAUAUCAUUCAAGGUCACACAAGUCUAGAGGUGAUAAAGCAGACAAGUACAAAGACAGUUUAUCAGAGGGUCUUAAAGUGGAUAAUUCAUCAUCCUCAGAUGAACUUGAGGAUAUAAACAUCGUGGAGGAGGAGGAUGAGGAACAGAUAAUUGAGAAAAGAAGAAAACAAAGAGAGGAACUUCUCAAGAGGCUCGGAGUAAGCGAGGACUCAAACCUAACUAACAGUCCUGCAGCCCCGGAGCCUGCCCAGGGGGAGACUGAACCUGCCUCUGCUCCCACUCCUAAACCCAAGCGUAAGUCAAGAUUCGAACCUGAGCCCACGCCCACACAGAAGCAAGAAAACAAGAACACACAGCGAAAGGACGGCAAAUGGGACAUGUUUGCUGAAGCAGAUAACUUUGGCGGCCAGUACAAUAGUCCAAGCAUGGUGACAAAAGGGGGGCUGUUGCCUGAGAAUCCGAGUCUCACAGACAACUGGGACGAUGCUGAGGGCUAUUACAGGGUGAGGAUCGGUGAGACCAUGGACAACCGCUAUGUGGUGUACGGCUACACUGGCCAGGGGGUGUUCUCCAACGUCAUCCGAGCGAGGGACGGAGCAAGGGGCAAUCAGGACGUGGCAAUCAAAAUCAUCAGGAAUAAUGAAAUCAUGCACAAAACAGGUUUGAAAGAACUGGAUAUUCUGAAGAGGUUGAAUGACACGGAUCCUGACGACAGAUUUCACUGUCUUCGGCUCUUUAGACAUUUCUUCCACAAGCAGCAUUUGUGCAUGGUGUUCGAGCCCCUCAGCAUGAAUUUAAGAGAGGUUUUGAAAAAGUAUGGAAAAGAUGUUGGGCUUCACAUCAAAGCUGUCCGCUCAUAUAGUCAGCAGUUAUUUUUGGCUCUCAAACUUCUGAAAAAAGCCAACAUAUUACAUGCUGAUAUCAAACCUGAUAAUAUUUUGGUAAAUGAAAACAAACUUGUGCUAAAAUUAUGUGACUUUGGGUCGGCUUCACAUGUGGCUGAGAAUGAAAUCACACCUUAUCUUGUCAGUCGGUUCUACAGAGCUCCUGAAGUCAUUUUAGGAAUUCCUUACGACUUUGGAGUAGAUAUGUGGUCAGCUGGGUGCACCAUAUUUGAACUUUACACUGGAAAAAUCAUGUUCUCUGGAAAGUCUAAUAAUCAAAUGCUGAAAUUCUUUAUGGACUUCAAGGGGAAAAUGCCAAAUAAAAUAAUAAGGAAAGGUGCUUUCAAAGAUCAACAUUUUGACCACAACUGCAAUUUCUUAUACCAUGAAGUUGACAAGGUCACAGAAAGGGAGAAAGUGGUGACGAUGUCGACUAUCAACAUAACCAGAGAUCUGCAGUCUGAACUGGUUGGCAACCAGCACCUGCCCGAUGAUCAAGCCAGGAAAGUCAACCAGCUCAAGGACCUACUGGAGAAAAUUCUGAUGCUGGACUCGACCAAGCGAAUCCCCAUCAACCAGGCACUGACUCACCCAUUCAUCCAAGAGAAGAUAUAGUGCCUGCAGAGAAGAGGUACCAGUCAGAGUGGGGGCGAGGAGACUCUCUCACUUGCUUAGCUCACUCCAAGGAGUGGGCGAGGGUGUAAACUGCUCCUAGAUGCGUUCAGU